rnacentral:rRNA from 1 species
AUUGAACGCUGGCGGCAUGCUUUACACAUGCAAGUCGAACGGUAACAGGGUGCUUGCACCGCUGACGAGUGGCGAACGGGUGAGUAAUACAUCGGAAUGUACCCAGUAAUGGGGGAUAACGCUUCGAAAGGAGUGCUAAUACCGCAUACGCCCUGAGGGGGAAAGUGGGGGACCGCAAGGCCUCACGUUAUGGCAGCGGCCGAUGGCUGAUUAGCUAGUUGGUGAGGUAAAGGCUCACCAAGGCGACGAUCAGUAGCGGUUCUUAGAGGACGAUCCGCCACACUGGAACUGAGACACGGUCCAGACUCCUACGGGAGGCAGCAGUGGGGAAUCUUGGACAAUGGACGCAAGUCUGAUCCGGCCAUGCCGUGUGAAGGAUUAAGGUCCUCUGGAUUGUAAACUUCUUUUAUAAGGGACGAAAAAAGGUCUUUCUAGAUCGUCUGACGGUACCUUAUGAAUAAGCACCGGCUAACUCCGUGCCAGCCGCCGCAGUAAGAC